AACGGUCUAUACCUGCGGUACCUGCGGAGGGAUCAUUACCGAGUGAGGGCCCUCUGGGUCCAACCUCCCACCCGUGUUUAUUUUACCUUGUUGCUUCGGUGGGCCCGCCGAAAGGCCGCCGGGGGCUUCUGCCCCGGGCCCGUGCCCACCGAAGACAAACUGAACUCUGUCUGAAUGUUGCAGUCUGAGUAUAUAACUAAAUUAGUUAAAACUUUUAACAAUGGAUCUCUAGAUCGGAAG
rnacentral:misc_RNA from 1 species